rnacentral:tRNA from 1 species
UGAGGUUAAACCCCUCAGACUCCUUACUUUCAAAGGAUCAAAGCUAAUCCGUUGGUCUUAGGCGCCAAA